CCGCGGGCGCGCUCCGGGCCCACGGACCCGCGGUGCUGACCUGGCCCGCCGGCUGCCCCCGCCGUGGUGCGCCCAGGGCGGCCAUGGAGGUGGUGGGAGACUUCGAGUACAGCAAGCGGGACCUCGUGGGACACGGGGCCUUCGCCGUGGUCUUCCGGGGGCGGCACCGCCAGAAAACUGAUUGGGAGGUAGCUAUUAAAAGUAUUAAUAAAAAGAACCUGUCAAAAUCACAAAUACUGCUUGGAAAGGAAAUUAAAAUCUUAAAGGAACUUCAGCAUGAAAAUAUUGUAGCACUCUAUGACGUUCAGGAAUUACCCAACUCUGUCUUUCUGGUGAUGGAGUAUUGCAAUGGUGGAGACCUGGCAGAUUAUUUGCAAGCUAAAGGUACUCUGAGUGAAGAUACUAUCAGAGUGUUUUUGCAUCAGAUUGCAGCUGCCAUGAGAAUCCUGCACAGCAAAGGAAUAAUCCACAGGGACCUUAAACCACAGAACAUCUUGUUGUCCUAUGCCAAUCGGAGAAAGUCAAAUAUCAGUGGUAUCCGCAUUAAAAUAGCGGAUUUUGGUUUUGCUCGUUACCUACAUAGUAAUAUGAUGGCUGCAACACUGUGUGGAUCCCCAAUGUACAUGGCUCCUGAGGUUAUUAUGUCUCAACAUUAUGAUGCUAAGGCCGACUUGUGGAGCAUAGGAACAGUGAUAUACCAAUGCCUAGUUGGAAAACCACCUUUUCAGGCCAAUAGUCCUCAAGACCUAAGGAUGUUUUAUGAAAAACACAGGAGCUUAAUGCCUAGUAUUCCCAGAGAAACAUCACCUUAUUUGGCUAAUCUCCUUUUGGGUUUGCUUCAAAGAAACCAGAAAGAUAGAAUGGACUUUGAAGCGUUUUUUAGCCAUCCUUUUCUUGAGCAAGUUCCAGUAAAAAAAUCUUGCCCAGUUCCAGUACCCGUGUAUGCUGGUUCUGUCACUGGAAGCUCCUGUGGCAGCUCUCCAUCUUGUCGUUUUGCCUCGCCACCAUCCCUUCCAGAUAUGCAGCAUAUUCAGGAAGAAAACUUAUCUUCCCCACCAUUGGGUCCUCCCAACUAUCUGCAAGUGUCCAAAGAUUCUGCCAGUACUAGUAGCAAGAACUCUUCUUGUGACACGGAUGACUUUGUUUUGGUUCCACACAACAUCUCGUCAGACCACUCAUAUGAUAUGCCAGUGGGAGCUGCUGGCAGACAUGCUUCAAAUGAGUUCUUGGUGUGUGGAGGGCAGUGUCAGCCUACUGUGUCACCUCACAGUGAAACAGCUCCAAUUCCAGUUCCUACUCAGAUAAGGAAUUACCAGCGCAUAGAACAGAAUCUGACAUCUACCGCCAGCUCUGGCGCAAAUCUACCUGGUUCUCCAAGAUCUGCAGUUGUACGAAGGUCUAAUACCAGCCCGUUGGGUUUCCUCCGGCUGGGAUCCUGCUCUCCCGUGCCAGCAGACACAGUACAAACAGUCGGACGAAGGCUCUCUACUGGGUCCUCCAGGCCUUAUUCACCUUCCCCUUUGGUUGGUACUAUUCCUGAGCAAUUUAGUCAGUGCUGCUGUGGACAUCCUCAGGUCCAUGAAUCCAGGACUAGAAAUUCCUCAGGUUCUCCAGUGCCACAGGCUCAGUCACCACAGUCUCUCUUACUGGGUGCUAGACUGCAGAGCACCCCCACUCUCACCGACAUCUAUCAGAACAAGCAGAAGCUCAGAAAGCAGCACUCUGACCCUGUGUGCCCCUCUCAUGCCGGGGCUGGGUACAGCUACUCCCCUCAGCCCAGUCGGCCCGGCAGCCUCGGAGCCUCUCCCACCAAGCACGUGGGAUCCUCUCCACGGAGUUCUGACUGGUUCUUUAAAACUACUUUGCCAACAAUCAUUGGCUCUCCUACUAAGACCGUAGCUCCUUUCAAAAUCCCUAAAACACAAGCGUCUUCCAACCUGUUAGCCUUGGUCACUCGUCAGGGGCCAUCUGAAGGGCAGUCUAGAGAUGGGAAUGACCCACGAGAAUGCUCUCAUUGUCUCUCAGUACAAGGAGGUGAGAGGCAGAGGGCUGAACAGCACAAAACAAUGUUUGGCAGAUCUGUCAGUACAGGGAAAUUAUCAGAUCAACAAAUAAAGGCACCCUUAGGUGGGCAGCUGCAUCAGGGUAGCACGGACAGCUUAAAUACAGAAAGACCAAUGGAUAUAGGACCCUGUGGCGUUGUACUGACACCUCCUAUGGGAGCAGCAGCAGCAACUUCUAGGGCCGUCCUUUUCACUGUGGGGUCACCUCCACAUAGUGCCACGGCCCCCGCUUGUACCCAUAUGGUCCUUCGAACAAGAACGACUUCAGUGGGGUCCAGCAGCUCUGGAGGCUCCCUCUGCUCCGCGAGUGGCCGUGUGUGUAUGGGCUCCCCACCUGGUGUGUGUUCAGGAUCUUCCCCUCCACGAGCAGAGGCAGCUCCCAGCCUGAGGUACAUGCCUUAUGGUGCUUCACCCCCCAGCUUAGAGGGGCUCAUCACCUUUGAAGCUCCUGAACUGCCUGAGGAGACACUGAUGGAGCGAGAACACACAGACACCUUACGCCAUCUGAAUAUGAUGCUGAUGUUUACUGAGUGUGUCCUGGAUCUGACAGCCACGCGGGGAGGAAACCCAGAGCUGUGCACAUCUGCUGUCUCCUUGUACCAGAUUCAAGAGAGUGUGGUUGUGGACCAGAUCAGCCAACUGAGCAAAGACUGGGGGCGGGUGGAACAGCUGGUAUUAUACAUGAAAGCAGCACAGCUGCUAGCAGCUUCUCUGCAUCUCGCUAAAGCUCAGAUCAAGUCCGGGAAGCUGAGUCCUUCCACGGCUGUGAAACAAGUUGUCAGAGAUCUGAAUGAACGAUAUAAAUUUUGCAUCGCCAUGUGCAAGAAACUUACAGAAAAGCUGAAUCGCUUCUUCUCUGACAAACAGAGAUUUAUUGAUGAAAUCAACAGUGUAACUGCAGAGAAACUCAUCUAUAAUUGUGCUGUAGAAAUGGUUCAGUCUGCAGCCCUGGAUGAGAUGUUUCAGCAGACUGAAGAUAUUGUUUAUCGCUAUCAUAAGGCAGCCCUUCUUUUCGAAGGACUAACUAAGAUUUUACAGGACCCUGCAGAUAUUGAAAAUGUACAUAAAUAUAAGUCCAGUAUUGAAAGAAGAUUGUCAACACUCUGCUGUAGCACCGUGACGAUGUGAGCAGCAGCAGGCUUACCCCGUGGACCAGUCAGUGGGAUUGUGAGCCCUCGUGAGAACACCUUCUUUGGGGGAUGGGUCAAGAUGGUAUUUUCUGCACCUGAAUCAGAGGAAAACACAUCAGAAACUGUCCACGUAGAAAAGUACUGCACUUCAGGACAACAGUCCCUGAAAUCUCAGCAUUUAUGGAAGAGGCAAAGCCCCACCAAUAAAGGACCUAUGUGAAUUCAGCGAUCAAACCACACUAGAGAUGAGAACGGAGACAGAACCUGCCAGCAACGUGAACUUACGCAGCCCUCCAUGGUGCCUGCUGGGAGUGGACAUGGAGCCAGCAGAGAGGCUGUGGAAAUGACUAAGCCUGGGCAUGAGGAGGCCCAGAUGGUCAGAAUUAGUUUCCUUUCACCUUUUGGCCUGGAUGCUCUUCCGAAGUCUGCAUAGGUGUGAGGUACAGGUUGGCCUUUCCUGGCAGGCGAGGGUAUCUGGGAAAGGCCCCCCAUGGAGCACCAUCUCAGGGCUGUGUAGUUUAGAGUCCCUUCCUGCUCUUUGAGAGUUUCUGUCAUUAGGAAGUGCCAGCUUGGACACUUGUUCUAUACCUACUUUGGGAUUUCUGCAACUAAAUUAGCAGUGUAGCUUAACAGUUAAUAGCGUGAGCUCCGGAGGCAGACCGGUGAUCUUUGUGUGUCCUUGGGCAAGUGACCUAACCUUUCCAAACUGUAAAAUGGGGGAACUAGAUCUCAGAGGUCUUCUAAAUAAGUCUAUUAAAUAUUAAAUAUGUAUUAAUAUUAGAUAUCUACUAAAUCUCAUAGAGUUGUGGUAAAAAUUAAAUAAAUUAUUAAGUGCGAAGUUCUCUGAACAGCACCUGGCACAUAUAAUAGCUGUUGUGGAAGUUGCCCAUCUGCAGUUCCUUGCUGUUUUUGCUUUUAGGGGAUGGGGGAGACAGGAAGGAGUGAAGGAUAAUUUCUUUGGGGCAGCUGGUGAAAGGACACAGUUUUUAAGUAAAAGUUGUACUCUGCUUUCAGACAUUCUUUAGGUUGCUAUUUUAAUAUGGCUGUUUUAAUUAAAUGUUUGCUUCAGUCUAUUAUUUAUUACUUCAUUUGACUCACACCAACCCUUGCUUGCCCCAUUGUACAGAUGGAAAAACAGACUUAGAGAGUAAUUUCCCCAAGAGAAAGGUCACACAGCUAGGUAGUGACAGAAGCAGACCACUGUCAGGGGCUGGACUCCCAGUCUGCUGGGUGGGAGCUCCAAGUGCAGUGAGCAUCACCACUCCACAGGAUGUGCCUACGGCCCAGACCUAAAUCCCCAGGCAGCUCACCCUUAGCAAAUCUCAGACGCUCACUACCAUGGCUUUUUAAGGCUUCCUUUCUGAUGAUAUACAGGAAGAGGGGAAGGAAAGAAGAGCUUUAUGCCAUUGGUACCCAAAUAUCCCCUGCUGGACCAUCUGCUGCUUCACAGAUGGCAGCAGAAUUUCAAGAAGCAAGUGAGGUUAAAGAGCUCUGUGCAGCCCCACUUGGGACUGAACUGGAGGUUUCAGAAAUCACUCUUGAGUUUCCCACUGAAAAGGGAUUCUGUGACAUGUUAAUAAAGUUUUCCUGUUUCCAGUUUUUCUGUGUUGUCUUUAUUGUUUUGCAUUGAGAUUAAGCAGUGGGGAAUUUUUAGGUAUAAGAUGGGAGGAACCUAAAUUCCAGGUUUGCCAAGGGGACCCUUUACAACUUUUGGGACCAGUUCUCUCUCUGGUGGCAAUAGACAUAGUUCUUUUCUCAAUGAGUGUCCUUUUCUUUAGGGCCACUAUGGGUCAAAAUCUACUUGAUGGCAGCGGGUUUGGUUUUGGAAACCCUGGUGGUGUAGUGGUUAAGAGCUACGGCUCCUGACCAAAAGGUCAGCAGUUCGAAUCUGCCAGGCGUUCCUUGGAAACUCUGUGGAGCAGCUCUGCUCUGUCCUGUAGGGUCACUAUGAGUCAGAAUCAACUUGAGGGCAAUGGGUUUGGUUUGGUUUGGGUUUGUCCUUUUCUUAGGCUGUUCCUGUUGAGGCUGUGCAGCCUCACGUUCUCAACGAGGACCUGCCCGGCAUAGAGUUCAGUGGAGAGGAUGAGGAGGAAGGUAGUGGGGUGGGCGUGGGCCCAUCUCCAGAAGGGCUUUUCCAAGUCAUCCAUGUGGGCAAUGGAAUGACUUCCUCCCUGGCACCUUUGUGUCUUUCGGGAAGCAGCUAUAGAUGACGCCACAGAAGUAGACCCAAGACUCCAUGGGUUUCCCCGUGCCUUCCUUGGCUUUGAUAACAAUUUUAAUAAUUAUUGUGGGGUUCUUUCCCGUCUAAGCAACCACCCUUCUUAUCCUUCCCUCUACUCCAAGUUCCCCCUUUUGCCCUCAUACUAGUCAUUCUGUUCACUUGUCCACCAAUAGCAGACUUGACAAAAACCUAACUAGUUCUUCAGCCAAAACUGUUAUUUUUCCAAUAUGGAAAUAAAAUUUCCAAAAGCUUGCCUCUCAAUCAGUCAAAACAGUGUAAUCUUGGCUUUUUAAUAUCUUCCUUGACCAUACUCCUACCCUCGGUGCUAGUCAGGUUACUAAUUGGUUCUUUUGUACAUCAGGUUAUCCCCUGCCUCCCAGAAGAAGAGAUGUAAUAAAAAGCCUUUUAGUUUACCACAGUACCAAAUUUCAUUCUAUCAUAUUUUCCCCUAAUUAAAAACCUAUAAUUAAAGGAAAAGUCAUAAACAUAUCUAAGGUUAUAAAAUGAAGUUUUAAUUCUAUUUUCAACACUUAAGUGUCUUUAAAAAGGAUCAUUUUUCUUCUGCAGUCUUACAAAGCAUACAAUUUUAAAUACCCUCACGGCCCAAUAAGGCAGAGCAUGUGCUAUGUAGUUCAUGACCAGUGUUUUUACAUAAACCGGCCUCAACAAGCAACCAACAAUUUCAAUAUACUUAAAAAACAAUUACAAGUAAUUCGUCAAAUUAGAUAAGCCCAAACUUUUCAAUAGACCCAUUCCUAGACUUCAGUCAUAGCUUAAUAUAUUUUAAAGAAAAUGUUAUUAAAAUAAUCAUGCUUUACUUAUUGUUAUGAUGUAUAUUUUCACUUUAUACUAAUUUAAUUUUUAAACUAUUAUACACCAUACUUAUUCCCUUCCCCAGUAGCUCAACAAAUCCUUC